rnacentral:rRNA from 1 species
UACAGAGGUCUCAAGCGUUGUUCGGAUUCAUUGGGCGUAAAGGGCGCGUAGGCGGUCGUGACAAGUCACUUGUGAAAUCUCCGGGCUUAACUCGGAACGGUCAAGUGAUACUGUCGGACUAGAGUACAGAAGGGGCAACUGGAAUUCUCGGUGUAGCGGUGAAAUGCGUAGAUAUCGAGAGGAACACCUGCGGCGAAGGCGGGUUGCUGGGCUGAUACUGACGCUGAGGCGACGAAAGCCAGGGGAGCGAACGGG